CCUCUUGCCCAUGUUAAAUUGGGGUGUCACUAUCAGUUGAAAACGACAUUAAUUUUGUCACUUGACUGUUAAACUGAGACAACACACGCGCUCCAAUAUGAGUGAGUGAGUGAGUUGGAUUUUACGCCGCA